UAGGGAAUAAAAGUUUCACUGUUAUUAUUAUUCUCCAUAAAGAAUUUUGAGAAAAGCAUCUCUUAUCCUAAUGAUGAAGAUCUAUAGAGAUGAUCUAAGAGGCUGCUUGAGUUUUUUUCAGUCUAACAUACAUAAGGUGUUUAUGAGUAGAAUUUGUUCUAUCAUGAACACCAUGUAUGAGAUCGGAUAUGGUAUACUCACUAGGAUAAUGAGUGGAUACCUGCA
rnacentral:lncRNA from 1 species